UGCGUAGGUGGUUUGAUAAGUCAGAGUUGAAAGCCCACCGCUUAACGGUGGAAUUGCCUUUGAUACUGUCAGACUUGAAUAAGGUUGAGGUCGGCGGAAUGUGUCAUGUAGCGGUGAAAUGCAUAGAUAUGACAUAGAACACCAAUUGCGAAGGCAGCUGGCUAGACCUUUAUUGACACUGAGGCACGAAAGCGUGGGGAGCGAACAGGAUUAGAUACCCUGGUAGUCC
rnacentral:rRNA from 1 species